GUUUCUGUGGUGUUAUUAGCACAUUAGAUUUUCAUUCUAAAGGAAUAAAUUUAUUUAUUAGAAAU
rnacentral:tRNA from 1 species